rnacentral:lncRNA from 1 species
GCAGCAAGGGGGCGCUAGGAGAGGGAACUGGCUAGCGACGGUCCGGCGAGAGAGAUCUGGGGUGCGGGGAAGUUGGGGAGCAGAACCUGCUAGGCGUCCGAACACGGGAAGGCCGCGCCUGCCGGGUCCGUUAGGACAGAGGGCGGAGGAGUAAGGGGAAGGCAGCUGUCGGGCGGUCCCCGGACAGAGGGCUUAAGGUAGUGUGGACAGCGCUGCUCCCCGGAUGGCGACCGCCGACACUUCGACCCCGGCCUCUAGCGGCCUCUCACCGAAAGAAGAAGGGGAGCUCGAAGAUGGGGAGAUCAGCGACGACGAUAACAACAGCCAAAUCCGGAGCCGGAGCAGCAGCACCAGCAGCAGCGGCGGCGGGCUGUUACCGUAUCCGCGGCGGAGGCCUCCUCACCCGACCCGGGGCGGCGGAUCUGGGGG